CAAGUCGAGCGAACAGACGAGGAGCUUGCUCCUCUGACGUUAGCGGCGGACGGGUGAGUAACACGUGGAUAACCUACCUAUAAGACUGGGAUAACUUCGGGAAACCGGAGCUAAUACCGGAUAAUAUAUUGAACCGCAUGGUUCAAUAGUGAAAGACGGUUUUGCUGUCACUUAUAGAUGGAUCCGCGCCGCAUUAGCUAGUUGGUAAGGUAACGGCUUACCAAGGCAACGAUGCGUAGCCGACCUGAGAGGGUGAUCGGCCACACUGGAACUGAGACACGGUCCAGACUCCUACGGGAGGCAGCAGUAGGGAAUCUUCCGCAAUGGGCGAAAGCCUGACGGAGCAACGCCGCGUGAGUGAUGAAGGUCUUCGGAUCGUAAAACUCUGUUAUUAGGGAAGAACAAAUGUGUAAGUAACUAUGCACGUCUUGACGGUACCUAAUCAGAAAGCCACGGCUAACUACGUGCCAGCAGCCGCGGUAAUACGUAGGUGGCAAGCGUUAUCCGGAAUUAUUGGGCGUAAAGCGCGCGUAGGCGGUUUUUUAAGUCUGAUGUGAAAGCCCACGGCUCAACCGUGGAGGGUCAUUGGAAACUGGAAAACUUGAGUGCAGAAGAGGAAAGUGGAAUUCCAUGUGUAGCGGUGAAAUGCGCAGAGAUAUGGAGGAACACCAGUGGCGAAGGCGACUUUCUGGUCUGUAACUGACGCUGAUGUGCGAAAGCGUGGGGAUCAAACAGGAUUAGAUACCCUGGUAGUCCACGCCGUAAACGAUGAGUGCUAAGUGUUAGGGGGUUUCCGCCCCUUAGUGCUGCAGCUAACGCAUUAAGC
rnacentral:rRNA from 1 species